CACAACUAAUAGAGAACUCUGAGCAGCCCGCUCGCGUGAAUGAUGAAUGCCUUAUGAUUUGUAACAUUUUUUAUAAGGGAAUCAGGGAUCUCCUAGUACCUUAGACUGUUGACGGUAUCUGCAUAAUAAGCACCGGCUAACUACGUGCCAGCAGCCGCGGUAAUA
rnacentral:rRNA from 1 species